rnacentral:miRNA from 1 species
UCGACCCUUGUGCCUGUUUCGGU